rnacentral:rRNA from 1 species
GACGAACGCUGGCGGCGUGCCUAAUACAUGCAAGUCGAACGCUGAGGGAGGAGCUUGCUUCUCUGGAUGAGUUGCGAACGGGUGAGUAACGCGUAGGUAACCUGCCUGGUAGCGGGGGAUAACUAUUGGAAACGAUAGCUAAUACCGCAUAAGAGUAGCUGUUGCAUGACAUUUACUUAAAAGUUGCAAUUGCAUCACUACCAGAUGGACCUGCGUUGGAUUGGCUAGUUGGUGAGGUAACGGCACACCAAGGCAACGAUACAUAGCCGACGUGCGAGGGGGGGUGGCCAGCCUGGGAGUGUGACACGGCCCAGACGCCCACGGGAAGGAGCCGGACGGCAUCUUGGGGAAUGGGCGGAAGUCUUAGCGCACAACGCCGCAGGCGUGAAGAAGGUUUUCGGGUCGGAAAGCUCUGUUGUAAGGGAAGAACGAGUGUGAGAGUGGAAAGUUCACACUGUGACGGUAUCUUACCAGAAAGGGACGGCUAACUACGUG